AUUGAACGCUGGCGGCAGGCUUAACACAUGCAAGUCGAGCGGAGCGAGGGUGCUUGCACCUUAGCUUAGCGGCGGACGGGUGAGUAAUGCUUAGGAAUCUGCCUAUUAGUGGGGGACAACAUUCCGAAAGGAAUGCUAAUACCGCAUACGCCCUACGGGGGAAAGCAGGGGAUCUUCGGACCUUGCGCUAAUAGAUGAGCCUAAGUCGGAUUAGCUAGUUGGUGGGGUAAAGGCCUACCAAGGCGACGAUCUGUAGCGGGUCUGAGAGGAUGAUCAGGCACACUGGGACUGAGACACGGCCCAGGCUCCUACGGGAGGCAGCAGUGGGGAAUAUUGGACAAUGGGGGGAACCCUGAUCCGGCCAUGCCGCGUGUGUGAAGAAGGCCUUUUGGUUGUAAAGCACUUUAAGCGAGGAGGAGGCUACCGAGAUUAAUACUCUUGGAUAGUGGACGUUACUCGCAGAAUAAGCACCGGCUAACUCUGUGCCAGCCGCCGCCGUAA
rnacentral:rRNA from 1 species